AUGUUCUCAUGCUGCUACUGCUUGGAGUGCCCUAUGCUGAUAAUCACCAGUGACGUUACUGGGCUGGAUGCAGCAGGAGUUACAAAGCAAGGGGUGUUAGAGGAUCUGAUAGUAGGCAGAGUAAGAAAAUAUGGCUUAGAAUCUAAAAUACUGUUUAACACUAAAAUAUUAUGGUCAAAGUUCUGCUCUCAUUUGCACUGAAGAAUAUCCUUUGAAAACAAUUUGUCAGGUUUGUCUAAUGUAUUGCAGUCAGGAGUUGUGACUUAGAGAAUUUUUACUUGAUUUAUUGUGAAUUAUCAUACAUUUCUGAUCACUGAUUUGGGUAUUCAGAAGAAAGAAAACACAAAUAAUUAAACACUGGAAUAUGUUUCUUCUUGAAUUCCCAGGCUCAGCUUAAGCCAAACACCUCCUUCCUCCUGUCCCCUUCCUAGUCUCAAGUUCCCUCUUUUUUCCCACAUUUAUGCUUGGUCCUUCUCAUUUCCUUUGAGUAUAGGGUUGUGUGUAACUGGUUCUGUCUACUAGGGUCACCCACAGGCCAUAGCUCCUUGUGGCUAUCCCUGCCUCAGCAGCAGUCACCCCUGGGCUGCAGUCACUCAGGGUUGCCCCUGGCAUGGAUUGCCUGCUUCCAAGAUCAUCUCCCCAGCAGCAGGAGUCAAGCAAAAAAAAAAAAAAAAAAGCCUCAAGAACAUAUUGAAGCAGAACUGGUAUUAUUUACCAAACAGUAUAAAGACUUUUAUAUUGAUAUUAGUACAGCUUUGAUAUUGAUAUUAGUACAGCUCUUACACCACGUUAGAUAUUGCUUAUAACUAUUGCAGAGCUUAAACAUAUCUCUGUCCCUGCCAAUAUAAUAUGCUUAGUGAAAUAAGCACUUACCUAGAUAUUCAUACACAAUAUGAUUAUUAUUUUAUAUUUUCUUCUGGAAGCAUCAGAAGUAUUAUAUAUCUACUCAGUUGUUGUGUUUGUUUCUAGUUAGAAUUAUUAACCUUGUUUGGUUUACUUUCUUAAAUAUGUAGGUGGGGAGGAAAGCUCCAAUUCUAAUCACUAAGGGGUUGAAAGAAUGAUGAGUAACUGUGAAGCUGAGGCUGGAGGUACAGCAGAAAUGACUUAUCCUGGAUAACUUUACAUUUGUAAUGUGUGUAGAUUGCACUGCAGCAUUUAGAAAUAACUGACAUGCAGGGGAAAUACAAGCAAUAUCAGUGUU
rnacentral:lncRNA from 1 species